rnacentral:lncRNA from 1 species
GGGAGAUCUGACAGGUUCUAAGAGAAGGGAGACCAAGAUACAUGAGAUCUGUGGAACAGCAAGAGAUGAAAAAGACCCUUUUUGUGGGUGAAAGAGCAGCUCAAAUUCUGCAGUCAAGCUUGUGCUUCUGCUGGAGUCACAGUAAGAGUGACAGCUGCAGUGAUGAAUUUCAGUAUGAAGAUUGUAUGAACAUCACCCCAUUCCUCAAAGAACUGGCUAAUGCUGCCAUGCAUUUCACACAGCCUUCUUUCAGGUAUCAGGUGGCAACUCCUUUUGGUCAUUAGUGGCUUGGACUGACACUGAAAUGUUAAGUAGUCCUAAAGAUUACAAAUCCAUCACCAGCUGGAUCUGAGCAGCUUCCCAGUUCAAUUACUAUGUGCAAAAAGAUGUCCUGACCUUUAGGUUUUUAGUAACAUCACUUUGCUUGUAGGAAGAGUUCAAGGACCAAAAAGCUGCCAGAUGUGGAAGGA